GUGGGGAAUAUUGCGCAAUGGGCGAAAGCCUGACGCAGCAACGCCGUGUGAGGGAUGAAGGCUUUCGGGUCGUAAACCUCUGUCAGAAGGGAAGAACGGGUGAGGGUCUAACAGGCCUUUAUUUUGACGGUACCUUCAGAGGAAGCACCGGCUAACUCCGUGCCAGCAGCCGCGGUAAUACGGAGGGUGCAAGCGUUAUUCGGAAUUACUGGGCGUAAAGCGCACGUAGGCGGCCUUGUAAGUCAGGGGUGAAAUCCCACGGCUCAACCGUGGAACUGCCCUUGAAACUGCGGGGCUUGAAUCCUGGAGAGGGUGGCGGAAUUCCUGGUGUAGGAGUGAAAUCCGUAGAUAUCAGGAGGAACACCGGUGGCGAAGGCGGCCACCUGGACAGGCAUUGACGCUGAGGUGCGAAAGUGUGGGGAGCAAACAGGAUUAGAAACCCGUGUAGUCC
rnacentral:rRNA from 1 species